UUUAUUGGAGAGUUUGAUCCUGGCUCAGGAUGAACGCUGGCGGCGUGCCUAAUACAUGCAAGUCGAGC
rnacentral:rRNA from 1 species